CAUUUUCAAACAUGGUGAUGGUUUAUGAGGGAGUGAAGGAAUGCAUGGAGACUGAAGUGGCAACAGACGCACUCACAUCCGCCACCUGAGCCUGAGGACCCCAGGGCCACCCCCUCAGCAGGAUCAGUUCACCCAAGGAAGAAGGGCUGUUAGGGGACAAAAGAAGAUGAUUAUACUUUGCUCCACUCUGAAAUAAGAGCCAGGAGUUAAGAGUGCCCAAUUCAGCCGGGCACAGUGGCUCACGCCUAUAAUCCCAGCACCUCUACCAUACGAAGGGGGAGGUGCAAACUCAGGGAGGGGAGGACUGACAGCAAAGACUUGAGUGUGUGGGCUGUGGAAUCCAGAACAGAAGCUCCCUGAGGACAAGGGUUUUCACUGUUUUACUCCCUGCUGUAUCGCCAGUGCCUAGGACAGUGCCUGGAACAAAACAGGAGUUCAGUAAACAUUUGUUGAGUGAAUA